AGAAGAUGAGAGUGGCUUCGGUGAAGAAUAAGUUGCGAGAAGGAAGACUGAGAUGGUUUGGGCAUGUGAUGAGGAGGGGCACGGAUGCUCCAAUUCGUUAGGUGCGAGAGGUUAGCUUUCGAUGGAUUUAGAAGGAGUAGAGGUAGUCCAAAAAUAUAUUGAAGGGAGGCGAUUAAACAUGACAUGGAGCAGCUUCAGUUUACUGAGGCAUGACCCUAGAUAGAAAGGUGUGGAGGUUGCGGAUAAGGGUAGAAGGCUAGUGUGAGUGUGUGGGUUGUAGCAAGAUAUUAAGAGAGUGUUGUGUCCAUUAGUAGGAG
rnacentral:lncRNA from 1 species